rnacentral:rRNA from 1 species
AUUGAACGCUGGCGGCAUGCCUUACACAUGCAAGUCGAACGGCAGCACGGGGCAACCUGGUGGCGAGUGGCGAACGGGUGAGUAAUGCAUCGGAACGUACCUUUCAGUGGGGGAUAACGUAGCGAAAGUUACGCUAAUACCGCAUAUUCUGUGAGCAGGAAAGCAGGGGAUCGCAAGACCUUGCUCUGAUUGAGCGGCCGAUAUCAGAUUAGCUAGUUGGUGGGGUAAAGGCUGACCAAGGCGACGAUCUGUAGCGGGUCUGAGAGGAUGAUCCGCCACACUGGAACUGAGACACGGUCCAGACUCCUACGGGAGGCAGCAGUGGGGAAUUUUGGACAAUGGGGGCAACCCUGAUCCAGCCAUGCCGCGUGAGUGAAGAAGGCCUUCGGGUUGUAAAGCUCUUUCGGCCGGGAAGAAAUCGCACGGGCUAAUACCCUGUGUGGAUGACGGUACCGGAAUAAGAAGCACCGGCUAACUACGUGCCAGCCGCCGCCGUAAUAC